GAUCAGCAUGGCCAGCGACCAAUCGAGCAUCCGCCGCCCCUCGGCUCUUACGCCGGAAGAUCUUCCUCAGGCCACGAAGCGGAUGGAAGCGACGCUUCUUCGGCUCUGCGAACCAAGACAAAAGAUCGUGUUUUUGAAUUGCAGGCAACGUUACCAAGGAAAUCCUCGAAGUUCAAGUAGAAUUGCAUCCAGAUAGAAGGUCCUCUAUGAUGAUUCCGUAAAUCGCG